rnacentral:misc_RNA from 1 species
GAUGAAGAACGCAGCGAAAUGCGAUACGUAGUGUGAAUUGCAGAAUUCAGUGAAUCAUCGAAUCUUUGAACGCACAUUGCACCUCUCGGUAUUCCGGGAGGUAUGCCUGUUCGAGCGUCAUUUGUACCCUCAAGCUCUGCUUGGUGUUGGGUGUUUGUUCCGCCUCUGUGUGUGAACUCGCCUCAAAACAAUUGGCAGCCGGCGUACUUGUUUCGGAGCGCAGCACAUUUUGCGAUCCAGAUCAACGUACAGCGGCAUCCAAGAAGCCUUAUUUAACGCUCUUGACCUCGGAUCAGGUAGGGACACCCGCUGAACUUAAGCAUAUCGAUAAGCGGAGGA